UACGGAGGGUGCAAGCGUUAUCCGGAUUCACUGGGUUUAAAGGGUGCGUAGGAGGGCAGGUAAGUCAGUGGUGAAAUCCCCGAGCUUAACUUGGGAACUGCCGUUGAUACUAUCUGUCUUGAAUAUCGUGGAGGUGAGCGGAAUAUGUCAUGUAGCGGUGAAAUGCUUAGAUAUGACAUAGAACACCAAUUGCGAGGGCAGCUCGCUGGACGAAUACUGACGCUGAGGCACGAAAGCGUGGGGAGCAAACAGG
rnacentral:rRNA from 1 species